rnacentral:rRNA from 1 species
GAUGAACGCUGGCGGCGUGCCUAAUACAUGCAAGUCGAGCGAACAGAUGAGGAGCUUGCUCCUCUGACGUUAGCGGCGGACGGGUGAGUAACACGUGGAUAACCUACCUAUCAGACUGGGAUAACUUCGGGAAACCGGAGCUAAUACCGGAUAAUAUAUUGAACCGCAUGGUUCAAUAGUGAAAGACGGUUUUGCUGUCGCGUAUAGAUGGAUCCGCGCCGCAUUAGCUAGUUGGUACGGUAACGGAGUACCAAGGCUAUGAUGCGUAGCCGGACUGAGAGGGUGACAGGCCACGUGGGGACUGAGGUACGGACGAGACGGAGAGGGGAGGCAGGAGUGGGGAAUAGUGCAAAAUGGGGGGAAGCAGGAUACAGCAAUGCCGCGUGCGGGGUGACGGCCUUCGGGUUGUAAACAGAUUUCGCCUGUGACGAAGCGUGAGUGACGGUAAUGUGUAAAGAAGCACCGGCUAACUACGUG